UGAAAUUCAAACAAAAUACAUUAUUUCUAACCUCCAUAGGCUAAAAAAACAUGAGAAAACUUCAUAUCAAAUAAAAAUCACUCAUUCUGACAAACAGAGCCCUCAAAUUAUAGAAAAACUUCAAACAAACAACUUAAUAAGGUAACACCUCCAAAUUUCCUGACGUACUUCAAACUCCUCAUCUGACACCUCACCACUAAGCAAUAUCAUCUGAACUUGACCUCCUGGCACCUCAACACCAACCCAUCACUAACAGAGCCAACCUCUGUUUCAUGUUCAACUUCCUCAAAAUCCAUUUCACCAUUUUAUCCACAAACACUUUUUAUUAACAUCCACUUUCCAACCAAGUCAUAACAGUAUUUGUUGAUUGACAAAUAACAACACCUGCAAUCCUCCCACAGUAAUUACUAACUCCAAAACUUAGUUUUCACCCAAAAAGUCUUUGGACCAUCAUGAACACCCACAGGAUUGUCUAUUUUGUUGUAUGGAAGGGUCAGAGGCGGUGGUGGAGCUCUGCGACUCUUCGUAGAUCUCGGUUUAGUGCGAGAGACUGGAGAUGGAGGGUUAACUGGAUCUGGACAUGGCAUUUGUUUGAUCUUAAUCUCAUCAGGUUCUUUCCCUGGACAUGGUGUUUGUUUGAUCUUAAUCUCAUCAGGUUCUUUCAUGUUGUUAGCAGAAUCCAGGAGAGGACAUUCCACUUGCUGUCCUGUUGGGGUCUCAGAGUACAAGAGAUCCUCUGUUUCUGAUGCUGAUGAAUCCAAUUGUUCUUCAGGUUCUUCAGCUUGAAGUAGCUCCUCUCUCUCUGGUUCUCUCUCUUGYUCUGGUUCUGAUUCUGAAGCAGUCUCCUUAUCAGUAACUGUCACUCUGUGUUCCACUGAUGUCUCAGUUUUCUCCAGCUGUCCUUCAGACGUCAGUUGUUGUGGUUUAUCUGUAGCCAGAACUCUGUUCAGGAAAUACUUCAUGUUUGAAACUAGUAGCUGUGCUCCAGCUUGAUUCAGAGUCAUUCCAUCAGACUUGAAUAGAUGUUUUCUUUCCCAGAAGAGAUCAAAGUUGUCCACAUAUCUCACAGAGUGGUCAGCACAGGAUUUUUCCAAAAACCCAUUAAGAGCCAAAAGUCUACUGAACCUCUCAGCUCCUCCUCUGACUGUUGGAACCGGUCCACUGAUGAAAA